CGGGUGAGUAACGCGUGAGGAACCUGCCUCAAAGAGGGGGACAACAGUUGGAAACGACUGCUAAUACCGCAUAAGCCCACAGCUCGGCAUCGAGCAGAGGGAAAAGGAGCAAUCCGCUUUGAGAUGGCCUCGCGUCCGAUUAGCUAGUUGGUGAGGUAAUGGCCCACCAAGGCGACGAUCGGUAGCCGGACUGAGAGGUUGAACGGCCACAUUGGGACUGAGACACGGCCCAAACUCCUACGGGAGGCAGCAUG
rnacentral:rRNA from 1 species